GUUUGCGACGGACGUCCAAGCCAGGUUUCAGUAGGCCCACCUCAUCCAUUUAACCCAGCCCAUCUUCAGUGUGGUCCUCAUUCGAUCCCCAAUUCGCACCAGCAAACCCUAGCCGCACAGUGCAUCUCAAUCGAUCCCAAAUCGAACCAAGACACCCUAGCUGGUAAAGAUGGCAGAUGCAGGUCGCCCUGCCAAUCGUGCCUUGCCCGGAUUCCGGCAGGAACGUCGUGACCUAUGUAGCUCGUCGCGGCCAGAACGCUAUUGAGCGUUUCCACAAGUGCCGCCGUCACAACCCAGCACGUGGUGGAUGCGACUUCUGUAGGUGGCAGCAAUCUCACGCCGAGUCGCUUGCUGCAGCAGCACCUCCGAUGGCGCAAAUCGUGCCUGCGCAGGAGCAAGCCGGCCUAGCGUACAAUGCUGCGGACGUCCACAGGGGGCGAAUGCGGCUGCGACCGGCCAUGGCUUCGCCGGAGUCCACCGCCGGCGAUGGAAGCUAGGCUUCCGCUUCCAAUCGCUCUCUCUGCCGAGCAGGAGGACGCCCGCAUCUGACCUGUCCAUCCCCCGAGUAAGCUCUGAACCCUCCUCCGUCCUUGGAGGCUGGAGGUAGUUGCUAGUUUUUUAGGUCGACAAAGGUUGGAUUGCUCUACACUCUACAGACAUAAUGGAUUCAUUCAGUUCAAUUUAUGAGUGUGUUUUUUCCUAACUUCCUAUGAUUAUUGAAGAGAUAAUAACAGAUCAAAGGUAAUGGAAGUUGCAGAGGUCUAUGCUUAUUAGUAGGGAUGAUAUUUUGCAGAGGAAAUUCAACUCCCCAUCUUUGUCUUGGAUGGCAAUUGCAGUCGAAACUCGCUCUGUCUUAUCUGAAACAAACAAACACACCUCUCAUCAGGGAAAUAACCAUAUUAAUUUAGGUGCAGGGCUCUGAGUGAAAUCAGACUAUAUUAAUUUAGGCGCGGCGGCGGCUCUGCAAGUUUGCAUUCGCUUCUGGUGUUGGUCGAUGCGAAAUCAACAAUGGACACUGCUGGAAGGAAACCAAUAACGGGAGGUUUGUCUCCGCCUGCUCGGUAUAACAUCAUUCCUUUCAGAUGUCUUCUAGCUUGUAGUUUUCUUGUGGCUUCUGUGUGGUACAAAACUGAAUUUUGGAAAUGAGCAAGCUAAGGGCUGCAAAUGUCCACAAGGCUUCAAGGUUGACGGCGUACACGGCUGCAAAGGAGUACCUACAAGAGGCGGGGCGAGGAAGGAGCAAUGAUUAGAGUCGCCACAACAGCAGAGGCGAGGGCGGGGAAGGAACGACUCCGCCAGCGCGGCUGACUAGCUUGAUCCACGGGGAUGAGAGGUCGGCGGCGGCGCAGUUGGGCGGCGGGUGCCCCGGGCGGUGCGCGGGCGACGGCCGGAGGAAAGAGACGGAGACCUAUUUCAAGCAGUUUUGGAAGUUUUUUGCUAAAAUGCCAGUACACCGGAGUGGUGUCUGGCAUCACUUUCUCUGUUGCUAUCUCCAUUGCUCUGCAUAUACAUGACAGGAUACAUUUUAUCCAAGUAACAUACCGAAAAGAGUCCUAUGAACAAAAGAGCCUGCUGGCAAGAGUGGUAAAGCAAAAAAAAUUAGGCAAAAUUAGGCAUCAUUGAAGAUCAUUAAAGACGUGUGACAGUCAGGGUGGACGCUAAAGAAAGUUUUCACUAUUACUAGACA